rnacentral:rRNA from 1 species
UACGUAGGGGGCUAGCGUUGUCCGGAAUCAUUGGGCGUAAAGCGCGUGUAGGCGGUCCGGUAAGUCCGCUGUGAAAGUCGGGGGCUCAACCCUCGGAUGCCGGUGGAUACUGUCGGGCUUGAGUACGGAAGAGGCGAGUAGAAUUCCUGGUGUAGCGGUGGAAUGCGCAGAUAUCAGGAGGAAUACCCAUAGCGAAGGCAGCUCGCUGGGACGGUACUGACGCUGAGGCGCGAAAGCGUGGGGAGCAAACGGG